AGUGAACGCUGGCGGUAUGCCUAACACAUGCCAGUCGAACGGCAGCACAGUAAGAGCUUGCUCUUAAGGGUGGCGAGUGGCGGACGGGUGAGGAAUACAUCGCAAACUACUUUUUCUUGGGGGACAUCGUAAGGAAACAUACGAUAACACCGCAUACAACCUACCGCAUAAAGCAAUGGAUAUUCGGACCUUGCGCGAUUCAAUUAGCCGAUGUCGGAUUAGCUAGUCGGCUGGGUAAAGGCCCACCAAGGCGACGAUCCGUAGCUGGUCUGAGAGGAUGAUCGGCCACACUGGAACUGAGACACGGUCCAGACUCCUACGGGAGGCAGCAGUGGGGAAUCUUCGACAAUGGGCGCAAGCCUGAUGCAGCCACACCGCGUGAGUGAUGAAGGCCUUCGGGUUGUAAAGCUCUUUUAUUGGGAAAGAAAAGCAGCAUGAUAAUCUAUGGAUGUUCUGACGGUACCCAAAGAGUAAGCAACGGCUAACUUCGUG
rnacentral:rRNA from 1 species